rnacentral:rRNA from 1 species
UAGGGAAUAUUGGUAAUGGGCGAAAGCCUGAACCAGCAACGCCGCGUGUGCGAUGAAGGCCUUCGGGUUGUAAAGCACUUUUGACCGGGACGAGGAAGGACGGUACCGGUGGAAUAAGCCUCGGCUAACUACGUGCCAGCAGCCGCGGUAAAACGUAGGAGGCGAGCGUUAUCCGGAUUUACUGGGUGUAAAGCGCGUGCAGGCGGUGAGCUAAGUUGGGUGUGAAAGCUCCUGGCUCAACUGGGAGAGGUCGCUCAAGACUGGCUGACUGGAGGAUGGUGGGGGAAGGUGGAAUUCCGGGUGUGGUGGUGAAAUGCGUAGAUAUCCGGAGGAACACCAGUGGCGAAGGCGGCCUUCUGGAUCAUCACUGACGCGUAGACGCGAAAGCUAGGGUAGCAAACG